CCCCCCCGCCCCGGCACCGCCACGGCCGCUUACGUGAGCGUUUUAGAGUAGAAGGCCGCGGCCUCCCGAGCCCGGGAUUUAUAGUCAGCGAGAUCUCGCGAGAGCAGCGGGACCCCGCGCCCUGCAUGAGUCACACGCCCCCUGGCGCACAGGAACGGGUCGCCUCUUCGCUAUACAGGGCGCAUGCGUAGAGAGGCGGGGGCCCCGGAGCGAGCAUGAGUUAAAAGCAGGAGUAUAAAAACGGUGGGGGGGCAGGGCCAAGUUCCUUUUGCAGGGGUCGGGGGGAGAGGUGAUAAGUGGUACGGCAGUGUGGGGUCAGUUUUGUAGGAUUUAGUGCUGUUUGGGUUCAGGUAUACAGCUCAAAAAAACAGAAAGCUGUAGGUUUUUUAUGUUUCUUGCAAAAAAAAAAAAGCUGUAGGCUUUUAUAUUUGUUGCAAAUAUAUAUAUAUUUACUAAAACAAACAUUAAGAAAAGCAAGAGCACAGGUCCUGCUGAGGGUAAGGAGCCCCGUUGCAUUGGCUCACGGGUGAGCAGACACAAGAUUGGGGGGGGGGUCUGGUUUCAGGGCCUCGGAGGAGAACUGUGCAGAGAGCGGGGAUCUGCAGCUGGAGCUCUCUGGAUCUGCUGGGGGAGGCAGCCGGAGAGAGCAGCUGAUCACCAUUGAAUUGCGCACCCCUGAAAUAGAGGAAAAGGAUGUGCGGCUUUGGCUGAAAAAAGCACUGCAAGAACAUGGGAACCAUGGAGAAAGACCGAGACAAAGGUGGGAUAUGGGCUGGUGCCUGGAAGGCCUAGCCCGUGCUGAGGCAUGCCUGGGAAGCCUGGAGAGCUCUAGCACUUGCCCAUGACCUUCAUCCCGGGCCCACCUGGGCUUUGUUUCCUCCCGGGGGCUGCCCAAGCUGUGCCGCGCUUGCAGGGCGCAGGGGUGCUUGGCGGUGGGUUGCCCUGUCCAAGUCUGCUCCACGUGCAAAGUGAAAGGCCAACAAGGCCCAGGACCGUAAGGAGCUCUGGCGCUGUAACUUGUGUGGGGAAAAGGGACAGGUUUUUAAAGCCUGCCCCAAAUGCUUCGUCCCCAUGUUGAAGAGCGAAGGGGUGGCUGCCGUGGUCCCGAUCUCCGAAGCAUCAAUAGGGAGCAAGGGGGCAGAGGAGAAAAAAGAAGAGCCCCUGAAGAGGAGGCAUGGGAAGGAGACCCGCGAGUCGAGUGGGAAUGGGAGGGGGUUGUCCCAGCACUCGGCGCUCACCUGCGAGGGAAUCGCCUUGGACGAAUCUUGCAAAAGAAGUAGAGGUCCCCAUCCCCACCCUGCAGAGGCCACCAUGAACCGAGGGCAUGCACCAGGCCGUCUCGUGCACCCCACUGGAGGGGGGCUGUGGGCCUCGGCAUCCCACCUGCAGACUGCUGAUGCCUAAGAGAGCCCCGGUGGAGCCUGUGUCCUGACCGGAUGUACUUGGACUCUGACCACCCUAGGAUUGGUGGUGUGGUCGGCCUGAGGGUUGUGCUCGCCCCGGAGCAAAGGUACAGAGGGGCUGGGUCCAAAUCCAGUGCCAGCAAAGCGGCAACACUCGACAGCCCCGUGGAACUGGGGCACGAAGGCUACUGAGCAACCUGAACAGGGACGAAGAGUGGAUGUUGUGAUCUGCAGAUGUUAAUGCAUCAAGGAGAAACUUGGGAGAGGUUGUUUUGUGUCAAGGCAUUCUGCAUUAAAUACUUCUUUUGGGAGAAGGAACCUUUCUUCAGCUGUUAACCAGUCCGGUCUCCUCACAUACAGCUACUUCCAUGAGUGAGGGCUGUAGGGGCAGACUCGGGUUACAUUGACAUGUAUGCAGGUCCCUGAUGGAUGGGCUUUCUUGGGUCUUUAAACUAAUAAACCCUGCUCUACAGUAGGUGAAAUGCUGAAGUGAAGUGACUUGCCCCAAGGUCACAGCAGAGUAACGGGAGGGCCAGAAAGCAUCCAGGUCCCCUCUUCAUUGCUUCUUGGCUCCUGUUCCUUCCCCCACAGGGAAGAUUUAGGGGAUGGAAGGGGGAAGGAUACCACGGGGAGGUAGCAUGAAACUGGGGGGUACAUAAUGCCAAGAGCAUGCCCUUGGCUGAGCUCCGAGUGCUGCUUUUACAGCAGUGAUGAGGCCCAAAGGUGCACCCAGCUGGAGUGGGACAGGUAGAGAUGGAGGGAAAUUCAUGUCUUCUGCAUCUGACAUUCAACUGCUACUUGUAAAAAGAGUGAGGAGAGCUCGCCAGGCAAAGAAAUAAGUUACCCUAAUAUAGGUUAAUAGCCAUGCUCUAGUCAAGGGUUUUUUUUUCCUUUUAAGAAAAAAAAUAUAAAAGCCAGAGCAAGUUGAUGGGCUUGCCAGCUGAUGAAUCUUCAUAAUCAUAUAUAAUAUAUGAUUUCUCAUGUUCACAAGCAUUUCCCAUGUAAUUUUCUAGGGAUGGUAGUUGCAAAUAAUGCAGUUGUGUUGUUUGGCUGCUUUGUGCAAUAAAACAUCUGUGUAUCGAAAGCUGGCUCUCG